CCGGAGUUCAACUAAAGCUGAUUGUGAAUAUUGGAAGAAGCAGUGAGAGGGUGAAAGCGGGUCUCUGGGUUUCAAGGGAAAAUGGGAGUCAAUAACAUGUUCCAGAUCCUCCAGACAGGCAGAAGGUCACCUUUGUGAGCUUGAAAGGACCAGACUGACCUCAUCCAUUCAAGAUCACCUGUAUUACCUUCAGUUUGUCAUUGCAAAACCAGCGCUUGGUGUAUUGCUUUGCCCAAAAAAGUGUGGAGACUUUGACUCAAAAUAUUGAUCAUGGCAUGAGGGUGAGUAAAUGAUUUUUC